GGCGGCCCCCUGGACAGAUACUGACACUCAGAUGCGAAAGCGUGGGGAGCAAACAGGAUUAGAUACCUGGUAGUACACGCCGUAAACGAUGUCUACUUGGAGGUUGUGGCCUUGAGCCGUGGCUUUCGGAGCUAACGCGUUAAGUAGACCGCCUGGGGAGUACGGUCGCAAGAUUAAAACUCAAAUGAAUUGACGGGGGCCCGCACAAGCGGUGGAGCAUGUGGUUUAAUUCGAUGCAACGCGAAGAACCCUACCUACUCUUGACAUCCAGAGAACUUUCCAGAGAUGGAUUGGUGCCUUCGGGAACUCUGAGACAGGUGCUGCAUGGCUGUCGUCAGCUCGUGUUGUGAAAUGUUGGGUUAAGUCCCGCAACGAGCGCAACCCUUAUCCUUGUUUGCCAGCACAUAAUGGUGGGAACUCCAGGGAGACUGCCGGUGAUAAACCGGAGGAAGGUGGGGACGACGUCAAGUCAUCAUGGCCCUUACGAGUAGGGCUACACACGUGCUACAAUGGCGUAUACAGAGGGCUGCCAACUAGCGAUAGUGAGCGAAUCCCAGAAAGUACGUCGUAGUCCGGAUUGGAGUCUGCAACUCGACUCCAUGAAGUCGGAAUCGCUAGUAAUCGUGAAUCAGAAUGUCACGGUGAAUACGUUCCCGGGCCUUGUACACACCGCCCGUCACACCAUGGGAGUGGGCUGCACCAGAAGUAGAUAGCUUAACCUUCGGGAGGGCGUUUACCACGGUGUGGUUCAUGACUGGGGUGAAGUCGUAACAAGGUAACCAAGGG
rnacentral:rRNA from 1 species